rnacentral:rRNA from 1 species
GAUGAACGCUGACAGAAUGCUUAACACAUGCAAGUCUUUGGCGAAUCUGUGCUUGCACAGGCUAGCCAAGGCGGACGGGUGAGUAACGCGUAAAGAACUUGCCCUGCAGACAGGGAUAACAGACGGAAACGACUGAUAACACCUGAUACAGUUGCCGGCACGCAUGUGCCUGGCAAUGAAAAGAGAUGCUGCAGGAGAGCUUUGCGUCCUAUUAGCUUGUUGGUGAGGUGACGGCUCACCAAGGCGAUGAUAGGUAGCCGGCCUGAGAGGGUGAACGGCCACAAGGGGACUGAGAUACGGCCCUUACUCCUACGGGAGGCAGCAGUGGGGAAUAUUGGACAAUGGGGGCAACCCUGAUCCAGCAAUUCUGUGUGCACGAAGAAGGUUUUCGGAUUGUAAAGUGCUUUCAGCAGAGAAGAAGAAAGUGACGGUACCUGCAGAAGAAGCGACGGCUAAAUACGUG